UACGAGGGGGGCAAGCGUUGUUCGGAAUUAUUGGGCGUAAAGGGCGCGUAGGCGGUGCGGUAAGUCACCUGUGAAACCUCUAGGCUCAACCUAGAGCCUGCAGGCGAAACUGCCGUGCUUGAGGGUGGGAGAGGUGCGUGGAAUUCCUGGUGUAGCGGUGAAAUGCGUAGAUAUCAGGAGGAACACCUGUGGCGAAAGCGGCGCACUGGACCACAACUGACGCUGAGGCGCGAAAGCUAGGGGAGCAAACAGG
rnacentral:rRNA from 1 species